AACGAACGCUGGCGGCAGGCUUAACACAUGCAAGUCGAACGAGAUCUUCGGAUCUAGUGGCAGACGGGUGAGGAACACGUGGGAACAUCCCUUUCAGUUCGGAAUAACGUUGGGAAACUAACGCUAAUACCGGAUACGUCCUUCGGGAGAAAGAUUUAUCGCUGAAAGAUUGGCCCGCGUCUGAUUAGCUAGUUGGUGAGGUAAUGGCUCACCAAGGCCACGAUCAGUAGCUGAUCUGAGAGGAUUAUCAGCCACAUUGGGACUGAGACACGGCCCAAACUACUACGUGAGGCAGCAGUGGGGAAUAUUGGACAAUGGGCGCAAGCCUGAUCCAGCCAUGCCGCGUGAGUGAUGAAGGCCUUCGGGUUGUAAAGCUCUUUUAUCCGGGAAGAUAAUGACUGUACCGGAAGAAUAAGCCCCGGCAAACUUCGUGCCAGCAGCCGCCGUAA
rnacentral:rRNA from 1 species